rnacentral:rRNA from 1 species
GUCUAUGGCCAUACCACCCUGAAUGCGCCUGAUCUCGUCUGAUCUCAGAAGCUAAGCAGGGUCGGGCCUGGUUAGUACUUGGAUGGGAGAACAAUGGUCACAAAUU